rnacentral:rRNA from 1 species
UACGGAGGGUGCAAGCGUUAUCCGGAUUCACUGGGUUUAAAGGGCGCGUAGGCGGCCAGCACAAGUCAGUUGUGAAAUCUCCGAGCUUAACUCGGAACGGUCAACUGAUACUGUGCGACUAGAGUGCAGAAGGGGCAACUGGAAUUCUCGGUGUAGAGGUGAAAUUCGUAGAUAUUGGGAAGAACACCGGUGGCGAAGGCGGCCAACUGGACCACAACUGACGCUGAGACGCGAAAGCGUGGGGAGCGAACAGG